UGGGGAUUAUUGGACAAUGGGCGAAAGCCUGAUCCAGCCAUGCCGCGUGUGUGAAGAAGGUCUUCGGAUUGUAAAGCACUUUAAGUUGGGAGGAAGGGCAGUAAGCGAAUACCUUGCUGUUUUGACGUUACCGACAGAAUAAGCACCGGCUAACUCUGUGCCAGCAGCCGCGGUAAUACAGAGGGUGCAAGCGUUAAUCGGAAUUACUGGGCGUAAAGCGCGCGUAGGUGGUUCGUUAAGUUGAAUGUGAAAGCCCCGGGCUCAACCUGGGAACUGCAUCCAAAACUGGCGAGCUAGAGUAGGGCAGAGGGUGGUGGAAUUUCCUGUGUAGCGGUGAAAUGCGUAGAUAUAGGAAGGAACACCAGUGGCGAAGGCGACCACCUGGGCUCAUACUGACACUGAGGUGCGAAAGCGUGGGGAGCAAACAGG
rnacentral:rRNA from 1 species